rnacentral:rRNA from 1 species
UGGCGGCGUGCCUAAUACAUGCAAGUCGAACGCUUUGUGGUUCAACUGAUUUGAAGAGCUUGCUCAGAUAUGACGAUGGACAUUGCAAAGAGUGGCGAACGGGUGAGUAACACGUGGGAAACCUACCUCUUAGCAGGGGAUAACAUUUGGAAACAGAUGCUAAUACCGUAUAACAAUGACAACCGCAUGGUUGUUAUUUAAAAGAUGGUUCUGCUAUCACUAAGAGAUGGUCCCGCGGUGCAUUAGCUAGUUGGUAAGGUAAUGGCUUACCAAGGCGAUGAUGCAUAGCCGAGUUGAGAGACUGAUCGGCCACAAUGGGACUGAGACACGGCCCAUACUCCUACGGGAGGCAGCAGUAGGGAAUCUUCCACAAUGGGCGAAAGCCUGAUGGAGCAACGCCGCGUGUGUGAUGAAGGGUUUCGGCUCGUAAAACACUGUUGUAAGAGAAGAAUGACAUUGAGAGUAACUGUUCAAUGUGUGACGGUAUCUUACCAGAAAGGAACGGCUAAAUACGUGCCAGCAGCCGCGGUAAUACGUAUGUUCCAAGCGUUAUCCGGAUUUAUUGGGCGUAAAGCGAGCGCAGACGGUUAUUUAAGUCUGAAGUGAAAGCCCUCAGCUCAACUGAGGAAUUGCUUUGGAAACUGGAUGACUUGAGUGCAGUAGAGGAAAGUGGAACUCCAUGUGUAGCGGUGAAAUGCGUAGAUAUAUGGAAGAACACCAGUGGCGAAGGCGGCUUUCUGGACUGUAACUGACGUUGAGGCUCGAAAGUGUGGGUAGCAAACAGGAUUAGAUACCCUGGUAGUCCACACCGUAAACGAUGAGUGCUAGGUGUUUGAGGGUUUCCGCCCUUAAGUGCCGCAGCUAACGCAUUAAGCACUCCGCCUGGGGAGUACGACCGCAAGGUUGAAACUCAAAGGAAUUGACGGGGACCCGCACAAGCGGUGGAGCAUGUGGUUUAAUUCGAAGCAACGCGAAGAACCUUACCAGGUCUUGACAUCCCUUGACAACUCCAGAGAUGGAGCGUUCCCUUCGGGGACAAGGUGACAGGUGGUGCAUGGUUGUCGUCAGCUCGUGUCGUGAGAUGUUGGGUUAAGUCCCGCAACGAGCGCAACCCUUAUUACUAGUUGCCAGCAUUCAGUUGGGCACUCUAGUGAGACUGCCGGUGACAAACCGGAGGAAGGUGGGGAUGACGUCAAAUCAUCAUGCCCCUUAUGACCUGGGCUACACACGUGCUACAAUGGCGUAUACAACGAGUUGCCAACCCGCGAGGGUGAGCUAAUCUCUUAAAGUACGUCUCAGUUCGGAUUGUAGGCUGCAACUCGCCUACAUGAAGUCGGAAUCGCUAGUAAUCGCGGAUCA